rnacentral:rRNA from 1 species
AAAUUGAAGAGUUUGAUCAUGGCUCAGAUUGAACGCUGGCGGCAGGCCUAACACAUGCAAGUCGAACGGUAACAGGAAACAGCUUGCUGUUUCGCUGACGAGUGGCGGACGGGUGAGUAAUGUCUGGGAAACUGCCUGAUGGAGGGGGAUAACUACUGGAAACGGUAGCUAAUACCGCAUAACGUCGCAAGACCAAAGAGGGGGACCUUCGGGCCUCUUGCCAUCGGAUGUGCCCAGAUGGGAUUAGCUAGUAGGUGGGGUAACGGCUCACCUAGGCGACGAUCCCUAGCUGGUCUGAGAGGAUGACCAGCCACACUGGAACUGAGACACGGUCCAGACUCCUACGGGAGGCAGCAGUGGGGAAUAUUGCACAAUGGGCGCAAGCCUGAUGCAGCCAUGCCGCGUGUAUGAAGAAGGCCUUCGGGUUGUAAAGUACUUUCAGCGGGGAGGAAGGGAG